rnacentral:rRNA from 2 species
AGACCAAAGUGGGGGACCUUCGGGCCUCAUGCCAUCAGAUGUGCCCAGAUGGGAUUAGCUAGUAGGUGGGGUAACGGCUCACCUAGGCGACGAUCCCUAGCUGGUCUGAGAGGAUGACCAGCCACACUGGAACUGAGACACGGUCCAGACUCCUACGGGAGGCAGCAGUGGGGAAUAUUGCACAAUGGGCGCAAGCCUGAUGCAGCCAUGCCGCGUGUGUGAAGAAGGCCUUCGGGUUGUAAAGCACUUUCAGCGGGGAGGAAGGCGUUAAGGUUAAGGAGGAAUACCGGUGGCGAAGGCGGCCCCCUGGACAAAGACUGACGCUCAGGUGCGAAAGCGUGGGGAGCAAACAGGAUUAGAUACCCUGGUAGUCCACGCCGUAAACGAUGUCGAUUUGGAGGUUGUGCCCUUGAGGCGUGGCUUCCGGAGCUAACGCGUUAAAUCGACCGCCUGGGGAGUACGGCCGCAAGGUUAAAACUCAAAUGAAUUGACGGGGGCCCGCACAAGCGGUGGAGCAUGUGGUUUAAUUCGAUGCAACGCGAAGAACCUUACCUGGUCUUGACAUCCACAGAACUUUCCAGAGAUGGAUUGGUGCCUUCGGGAACUGUGAGACAGGUGCUGCAUGGCUGUCGUCAGCUCGUGUUGUGAAAUGUUGGGUUAAGUCCCGCAACGAGCGCAACCCUUAUCCUUUGUUGCCAGCGGUCCGGCCGGGAACUCAAAGGAGACUGCCAGUGAUAAACUGGAGGAAGGUGGGGAUGACGUCAAGUCAUCAUGGCCCUUACGACCAGGGCUACACACGUGCUACAAUGGCAUAUACAAAGAGAAGCGACCUCGCGAGUCGUAGAUCAGAAUGCUA